rnacentral:rRNA from 1 species
UACAGAGGUCUCAAGCGUUGUUCGGAUUCAUUGGGCGUAAAGGGUGCGUAGGUGGCGCGCUAAGUCAGGUGUGAAAUUUCGGAGCUUAACUCCGAAACUGCAUUCGAUACUGGCGUGCUUGAGGACUGGAGAGGAGACUGGAAUUCAUGGUGUAGCAGUGAAAUGCGUAGAUAUCGUAAGGAAGACCAGUGGCGAAGGCGGGUCUCUGGACAGUUCCUGACGCUGAGGCACGAAGGCCAGGGGAGCAAACGGG